UGUGAAGAGAGAUGAAAUAUUAGGAGCCCUGUGUUAAUUCUUAAAUUAUGAAGGGCACAGACAUAACUAAAUUUAAGUUGAGAUGUCUUAAGUACUAUGGAAUAUUUGUCCAAGUUCCGUAGGAACCUGAAGCAGCAUUAGAGAAAGACUUCUUAUUGAACAGAAUGUCAUUUGGAUUUGGUUUGAAGGAGGAUUGGUUUUGACUGGCAAAAAUAGGAUAGGAUAAGGAACAGCAUUAAAUAAAUUCAGAGAUGGACUUUGGUUGAGGGGUGAAUUCAAGAGCUAUAGUUUAGAGAAUGGCACAGUGUUGAGGUAGGUCAUAAACAUGAGAAUUAAGCAACAGUGGAAAACGUGACUGCUGGUAUCCAAAUAGGUGCUAUAUCACCAUAGAAAUGAAAUUGAUUUGGACUGCAAUAUAUGUAAUAUAUGUACUUUGAAGAAUGGGUUAGCUUAAAUACAGACUAAAGGAAGAGAAAAGCUCAGUUCAAAAUGAAGGAGCAGAGUAAGAAUAGGCCUGGAGUUGAGAUUGAACAUAUCUCUUGAUAUUUAGUGUCUGUUGUUUUCCAAGAGACUACUGGGAGGAAAAUGUGAGGUAGAUAGUUACUAUCAUCCCCUAGUGUUCUCUUUGCUGAGAAUGUAAGAAUGUGUAUGUUUAGCUAUUUAAAGGGGUCAGAGUGGCAAGAGGAUUUGAGAAGGGAGAGAUUACUUUUGUCUAGGGCCUGGCUGUGGAGGACAUUUGAGAGAAGGUUAUUAUUAGGGAAGACUUAAUGAAGGACUUUAAACUGGAACACGAAUAUUAGGAAUCUGUAGAGAAGGGAGCAUAAUAAUAAUAGCGCAUUCCAGAGUGCAGAAAGUGGAAGCAACGUCAUGAAGCUGAUGCACAGAAAAGGGAAGUACGUGGUGUGGUUGAGGCUGGACAAGAUCAGGGAUUCUGAUGGGCCUGCUGUGAUAGGACUGCCAUGCUAUAGCGUCUUGUGAGAUUAAUUUGGCUUUGGUAUGUAGGAUGAUUUAGAGGAAAAUGUGUGAGUGCCAGGCCUAGAUUUACAUCUAGGUAAAUCUGAGGUAGCAGAAGCAGUGGAAAUGGUAGUAAUAUGUCUGUGUGAUUAGGGAGCUGAGGGGACAGUUGAUGAUUGAGCAAGUAAGGUGUCUUUUAAGUUUUGAGAACCUGGGAUGCUAAUGAUGUUAUUAAAUGGAACAGAAGAGGGGCAGGCCUGCUCAGAAAACGGUAAAGAAGGAAGAUAAGCUUGGUUGGAAUAAACAGUUCAUGCUUGGAAGUAACGUUAGAAGAAGUAGACUAGGACUGUAUUAUUGAGCAAGAAUAGUGUUCAUUGCUGCUGCUUCUGCUGGGCAUUUCCCAGAAGCUUAUUAUGUUCUUUAUUAUUAAAAACUUGCUCAUCAUCAUUCUUUUAAGCGAAGACCUAAAACACUCAAGUUUCUUUCUGGUGGUGGUGUGGCAGGUAUAUAGAAAAUUUUCAAUGACAUGCUGUCUUAGUCAAGAAAUAAUUAGUUGAGAGAUUUAAGGUGUCAGCUGAACAAGUGUUUUGUUGAAGAAAGUAAUACCUGUAUUUAUAGUGGGAAAUCAUUGUUUUAUUUUGAAGCAAAAGCACUUAGAAGUGUUUCCAAGAGACAACUUUGUGGGGCUUUUUCUAGGUGGACACUAUUUUGUGGAUUCAAAAGUCCAUUUUGUGCUCCAAAGUGGUGUUGCAUAAAAAGCAGCUUGUAAUAAAAAUCAUAAUAGGAAAUGUUUUCUGAAAAGAAUAUUGAAAAAAAACUAAUUGCAAAUAGUUUGAUUUUUAAAGCGAAUGAGGCAAAGACUGUUGAAAAAUUUAAUGCUAAUAAAGAUAUUUCUAAGAUACUCAGUGAUAAAGUAUCAGGUGAUUUUAUUGGCUAAAACUAAAAAACAGCAUUAAAAUAUUUCAAGAAGUUACUGAAAUUGACUUUUUUGAAAAAUUACACUAUUUUGUCUUUGGUAUUGAGAAGUUUAAAUUUAGGUUUAGAAAAUGACAAGUAUUUUGUUAUAGCCCAGUAAUAGGGAACAUUGAAAACUAAUUAAAUAUCACAAUCAACAAGUAAUUCGAUCUCUUUUAUAAGUAACCUGCAGUAGUCUCCAAUUGUGGAUUUUCCUGUGAUAGAAGUUAUUCUCACCUGAGGGAAAACUACUUUUCCAUAUCUAAACCUGGCUUGGAGUAAAUAAUGCUAAUUUGUUUCUCAAGUAUUGCUUUUCUGCUUAACCCAAGUUGUAUCUCAGUUGAAACCAAAAAGAAUUAGUGAAGCAGUCCUAAAAGAAUGAAGGUGUGGUUUAGAAGAAAAAGGCAUUGAUAUAGAAGGGUGGAUGUAAGAGAUGAGAAAAACAGGGGACGAAAUCUUUUAUCAACUCUGUUGUUCCCCUCCCCCCCCCCAAAAAAGGUUUACUAUUUUCUAACUAUGAUAUAAAAAUAUUUUAGUAAAAAAUACGUACAAUAGGAGACUUUAUGAAAAUCCUUCCAUUCUACAGUCCAGAGAUAAUGGUAUAUAAAUAUGGCCUUAAACUUCUAGACUUUUUAUUUACUUAUUUUUACUCAAAGAUCAUUCAUGUUAUUUUGUAACUUCACUUUUCACUUAAGAAACUGGGCCUCAUCUUUGCACUAACAAAUCCUGUGUUCUAGGCAUCGUGCUGGGUGCAGUGGAUAGAAUAGACAUAUUCUCAGCCUUCAGGGAUGAGUCUAGCAGGGGUUUGUAUAUUAUGAUACAUUGUGGUCAGUGCUUUGAAAGAGACAUGUAGAGACAGCAUAUAAGGACACAACCUGAGUUUGAGGGAUCUGGCUAAACUCUGGAGCAACGAAUGACAAAGCUGACUUAGAAAAUAUGAAUAGUUAAUGAGUCCUGAAUACUAGUCUUUCUCUCCAUUUAUACUGUCAACUAAGUCUUAAAGGGCAGACUCUCUGCUUUUGUGUUAUCCAAAGUACUGGACAUACUAAUACUCAAAUUUUUCUUAUUUUAAAAUAUUAAGCCUUCCUCUAUAAUACUGUGAUAAUUGUAACUUGUAUUACGUGCUUUGAGGAUAUAAAAGUAUUGCAUCCUGAUCUUCCCUUGGGUGCCAAAAGUCAAAUACUCCUUUGAUAUGGGCCAUCUGCAUAAUGUUUUCUCAUCUUUCCCUGUUGCCCUGUCUAAACUGGUCUUUGUUCAUCCUUUUCUCCUUUGCUGUAUGUCCAAAGGAUAGUGAAGUAGUAAUUGCUAGCACAUUUGUUUUUAAAUUUAUGUCCCUUUGGCAUUUAAGAAUUUUACAGUAGUUUGUAUUAUACUUAAUAAGUUGCUUUUCAGUCAUAUGUACCAUAUAUGCCUUAAUUCUGAGAUCCUUUACAGCAAAAAGACCUUUAUGGGUGAAGGAAUCAAUCAUUCUUUGUUCAGAAUUUUCCUUUAUACCUGUAUGCCCUGAUUGCCCACUGAAAAGUCAGCAUUUGAAAAAGUCAAGGAGAGCUUCUCUGUUGAGAUUCACUGAAUGCUUUUUCUGCAACAUUUGGGAAAUAGGUGUUUUCCCAUGGUGGUAUUCUGACCACCACUUUAUUGUAGUAUAACCUGUGGACAGUAUUGUAGAAUAUAGAAUUCCAAAAGAAAAAGGUUGAGUUUUCUUUUAUAUUUCAUGUAAAAACAAUCCGGUUCAGUUUCUUAAGCUCCCUGAGAUAAUAUGGUGUUUCCCCUUUCUACUAAUAAUUCUUACGAAUUGAAGUAAUACUUAAAAUGACAAUCUGUUUUUAACUGAGAAUAUUUUGAUUUUCUUUAAAAGGAAUUAAGUUAUUUCACUCAUUUAUGGCUUCAUUCAGAAAUAUGUACAUAUACCAACACACUAGUAAUGUCUGUUUCCGGUAUAAUAUUCAUCUGUGCCAUUUUUGUUUUAAAUUUUUAUUUUGAAAUCUAUAUUCACAAAUUGCUACACACACACACACACACACACACACACACACACAGGCACAGAGUCCCUGUGUACUCCUCAGUUUCUCUUAAUGGUAAUUUCUUGGAUAUAAUACAGUAUCAAAUCUAGAAAAUUGAUGUUAUAAUCCAGAGUUUAUUCAGAUUUCACCAAUUUUAUUUUAUUAAAAAAAAUUUUUUUUUUAACGUUUAUUUAUUUUUGAGACAGAGAGACAGAGCAUGAACGGGGGAGGGUCAGAGAGAGAGGGAGACACAGAAUCUGAAACAGGCUCCAGGCUCUGAGCAGUCAGCACAGAGCCCGACACGGGGCUCAAACUCACAGACCGCGAGAUCGUGACCUGAGCUGAAGUCGGCCGCUUAACUGAGCCACCCAGGUGCCCCAAGAUUUCACCAGUUUUAAAAGCAUUCAUUUGUGUGUUUAUAUAGUUGCAUGUUAUUUUAUACACAGAUCUGGGUAACUACCACAAUUGAGAUACAGAAUUGUUUCACCACAGACUGCCUUUAUAGCCACAUUCCCUUUCUUUCCUCCAUUCCUAACACCUGGCAACCACUAAUCUGUUUUCCAUCUCUAUUUUUUUUUUUUUUUUUAAGAGUAUUACAUUUAAAGCAAUCAUAAGGUAUGUAACCUUUUAAGAUUGUUUUUUUGCUCCACUAACCAUAAUUCUCUUGAGGUCCAUCUGGAUUGUUACACGUAUCAAUAGUUGUUCCUUUAUCCCAUGGUAUGGAUGUAGCAAAGUUAAACCAUUCACUCUUUGAAGGGCAUGUGGGUUAUUUCUAGUUUGAGGUUGUUAAAUAUGAAGCUGCUAUAUAUAUAAUUUGUGUACAGCUUUUUAUAUGAACAUUUUUAUUUCUGAGGUUCAUGUAUUCAAGAGUAUAAAUGCUGGGUUGCAUGGUAAGUGCAUGUUUAAUUUUGUAAGAAACUGCUAAAAUAUUUUCUAGUGACUACCAUUUUAUAUCCCACCAGCAGUGUAUGAAUGAUCUAAUUUUUCUUGCAUCCUUGCCAGCAUUUGGUAACUUUUAGAAAACAUAAGUUGAUACAAAGUGUUACAUUAGUUUCAGCUGUUGGUAAUUUAUUUUAGCCAUUUGGGUAGUGAUACCUCAUGAUUUUAACUUGAAUUUCCCUAAUGGCUAAUGAUGCCAUCCACAUAGUUCUUCAGGUUGUUUGCCCACUUUAUAACCAAUUUUUUUUUUUUUUUUUGAGCUUUGAGAAGUUUUUAUGCAUUUGACCCUU